UACGAGAGGCCCGAGCGUUGUCCGGAGUUACUGGGCGUAAAGGGUGCGUAGGAGGUUAUGUUAGUCGAUAUUUAAAUUCUUGGGCCCAACCCAAGAGCUGGUGUCGAAACGGCAUAACUGGAGGGCGCGAGAGGUAGAUGGAACUCAUGGUGGAGGGGUGAAAUCCGUUGAUAUCAUGGGGUACACCAAAGGCGAAGGCAAUCUACUGGCGCGUACCUGACUCUGAUGCACGAAAGCGUGGGGAUCAAAAAGG
rnacentral:rRNA from 1 species